AAAAAGAUAAGCUAAAUUCAAGCUAAUGGGUUCAUACCCCAUAUAUAGAAAACACUUCUUCUUUUUA
rnacentral:tRNA from 1 species